UGUGCCAGCGGCUUGCGGAUUGGCAGAAAGUUGGUGUCGCUGACGCAGUUGCCCAGCGACCGCUUUGAUAAAUCCGUGGACGCGACAGCUGAAGGGUGAAGAAACUGGGGCUUGGAGAGGUUGAGCAGUUUGUGCAGGAUUGCACUGGGGCAGGCACUCUCCAAGAGAGACUGUGAUCAGCAGCCCCAGGCUCCCGUCCAGUGCUCUCAGCAAGUCCAGUGGGUAGAAGCACCCCCCUCACAAGAGUUCCAACAGAAACAUUAGGACCGAGCGGCAUUGCCUCUGAUCAACCUAGCCUGCGUCCAUCGAUUGCAAGCUCACGAUGGGCCAGUCACGUUCCAAGUGCCUUUCUUGUACUAGCCCGCCUCAUUCUCCUGGGACUC